CCUACGGGAGGCAGCAGUGGGGAAUAUUGCACAAUGGGGGAAACCCUGAUGCAGCGACGCCGCGUGAGUGAAGAAGGAUUUCGGUACGUAAAGCUCUAUCAGCAGGGAAGAAAAUGACGGUACCUGACUAAGAAGCCACGGCUAACUACGUGCCAGCAGCCGCGGUAAUACGUAGGGGGCAAGCGGUAUCCGGAUUUACUGGGUGUAAAGGGAGCGUAGACGGCAGAGCAAGUCUGGAGUGAAAUCCCAUGGCUUAACCAUGGAACUGCUUUGGAAACUGUGCAGCUAGAGUGCAGGAGAGGUAAGCGGAAUUCCUAGUGUAGCGGUGAAAUGCGUAGAUAUUAGGAGGAACACCAGUGGCGAAGGCGGCUUACUGGACUGUAACUGACGUUGAGGCUCGAAAGCGUGGGGAGCAAACAGGAUUAGAUACCCGAGUAGUC
rnacentral:rRNA from 1 species